AGAGCGAACGCUGGCGGCAGGCCUAACACAUGCAAGUCGAACGGACCCUUCGGGGUUAGUGGCGGACGGGUGAGUAACACGUGGGAACGUGCCUUUAGGUUCGGAAUAGCUCCUGGAAACGGGUGGUAAUGCCGAAUGUGCCCUUCGGGGGAAAGAUUUAUCGCCUUUAGAGCGGCCCGCGUCUGAUUAGCUUGUUGGUGAGGUAAUGGCUCACCAAGGCUACGAUCAGUAGCUGGUCUGAGAGGAUGACCAGCCACAUUGGGACUGAGACACGGACCCAAACCUCCGUACGGGAGGCAG
rnacentral:rRNA from 1 species